rnacentral:ncRNA from 2 species
UGAAUCCGCGCGGGAGAGUCCCCAGCAGCUGCGCUGGGGCGCCGAAGGAGCAAGUCCCUCCCUUGAAUCUCUCAGGCCCCGUUACCGCGCGGGCGAG